rnacentral:rRNA from 1 species
AGUUUGAUCAUGGCUCAGAAUGAACGCUGGCGGCGCGCCUAAUACAUGCAAGUCGAGCGAGAAGACGUAGCAAUACGUUUGUAAAGCGGCGAACGGGUGAGGAAUACAUGGGUAACCUACCCUUGAGUGGGGAAUAACUAGCCGAAAGGUUAGCUAAUACCGCGUACGCUUCUUGGACUUCGGUUCAGGGAGGAAAGCGCUACCGUGGGUAGCGCGCUCUUGGAUGGGCUCAUGUCCUAUCAGCUUGUUGGUGAGGUAACGGCUCACCAAGGCUUCGACGGGUAGCUGGUCUGAGAGGACGAUCAGCCACACUGGCACUGCGACACGGGCCAGACUCCUACGGGAGGCAGCAGUAAGGAAUAUUGCGCAAUGGGCGAAAGCCUGACGCAGCGACGCCGCGUGGGGGAUGAAGGUCUUCGGAUUGUAAACCCCUUUCGGGAGGGAAGAUGGAAUGGGGUAACCCAUUCGGACGGUACCUCCAGAAGCAGCCACGGCUAACUUCGUGCCAGCAGCCGCGGUAAUACGAAGGUGGCAAGCGUUAUUCGGAUUUACUGGGCGUACAGGGAGCGUAGGCGGUUCGGUAAGCCCUUUGUGAAAUCUCCAGGCUUAACCUGGAAAAGUCGGAGGGGACUGCCGGGCUAGAGGACGGGAGAGGAGCGCGGAAUUCCCGGUGUAGCGGUGAA